rnacentral:tRNA from 1 species
AUUUGUAUAGUUUAAUUAAUAAGUUUGAAAACACUCUAUUUUCAAUGGAGAAAUAAGUAGUCCUUUACAAAUG